AAAAGAUUCAGUGGUCACAGCAUUAAAACUGAUUUGUCCACCAACCUUUUGCGACUUCUCUUCAGUAUCUCCCAAAAGCACUGUGUCAUCAGAAAAAAGCAAAUGUAACAACUUUCACUGUGUGUUAGAUUCUUUAUGUUUUAGACCCACAUCUUCCCUAAAACCCUAGCAUUUACUUCUUUUAAUUAUUUACAAGACCAGUCACCAUUAUAUUUUUGGGGAAGUGCUAAAUCCAUAGGGGCCAUACAGUACCUGAGAAUGGAAGGUUAUCAGGUAUGAUCCAAAAGGAAAAUUAUUAUUAUUAUAAUCAAGGGGGAAGCGCUAAACCCGGAGGAUUAUACAAAGGAAAAGAUAACUCCAAUUCCUUAGACUAAGUACUUUGCUGGUAUUAAGACUUUCCCAGCUGCUCUUGAAGGAUUUAACAAUAUUUGUAGCAGUGCUUUUUGAUUAUAAUAAAAAUAAUGACAGCAUUUGUUUCUGAUAUUUGCUCUGUUGUACACUAUUGUGUUUUCAUGAAUAAAAUUUAUAAAUUUA